AGUGAACGCUGGCGGUAGGCCUAACACAUGCAAGUCGAACGGCAGCACAGGAGAGCUUGCUCUCUGGGUGGCGAGUGGCGGACGGGUGAGGAAUACAUCGGAAUCUACUUUUUCGUGGGGGAUAACGUAGGGAAACUUACGCUAAUACCGCAUACGACCUACGGGUGAAAGCAGGGGACCUUCGGGCCUUGCGCGAUUGAAUGAGCCGAUGUCGGAUUAGCUAGUUGGCGGGGUAAAGGCCCACCAAGACGACGAUCCGUAGCUGGUCUGAGAGGAUGGUCAGCCACACUGGAACUGAGACACGGUCCAGACUCCUACGGGAGGCAGCAGUGGGGAAUAUUGGACAAUGGGCGCAAGCCUGAUUCAGCCAUACCGCGUGGGUGAAGAAGGCCUUCGGGUUGUAAAGCCCUUUUGUUGGGAAAGAAAUCCAGCUGGCUAAUACCCGGUUGGGAUGACGGUACCCAAAGAAUAAGCACCGGCUAACUUCGUGCCAGCCGCCGCGGUAA
rnacentral:rRNA from 1 species